rnacentral:rRNA from 1 species
UACGGAGGGGGCUAGCGUUGUUCGGAAUUACUGGGCGUAAAGCGCACGUAGGCGGACAUUUAAGUCAGGGGUGAAAUCCCGGGGCUCAACCCCGGAACUGCCUUUGAUACUGGAUGUCUGGAGGUCGAGAGAGGCGAGUGGAAUUCCGAGUGUAGAGGUGAAAUUCGUAGAUAUUCGGAGGAACACCAGUGGCGAAGGCGGCUCGCUGGCUCGAUACUGACGCUGAGGUGCGAAAGCGUGGGGAGCGAACAGG